AAAGGCUUAUUGUGCCAGACACUGUGGUAGACGCCAGGGAUAUAAUGAUGAAGAAGAUGUGGCACCACCUUCAAAGAGUUUGGUCUAGUGGAGAAUACAGGCAAGAAAAAAGGCAGGUGAAAAUCCUAGAAUGGCAGAGGGAAGAAAUCCUCUUUCUGUAAUUCCAGAAGAAUUCCACAGUGGGAGCCAUUUUCAAGGAUGCGGCCUUGAGUGAGCAAUGUGUUGCUGAGACCAUCUGGACUGAAUAUGUGACUGAACCCAGGGAAGGCCUCUGCAUAGACUGUUAAGAUUCUGGCAGGCAGAUGCAGAGAUCCACUUGUCUUACGGCCGCCCAGGACAAGCC